rnacentral:rRNA from 1 species
UACAGAGGGUGCAAGCGUUGUUCGGAAUUAUUGGGCGUAAAGCGCGUGUAGGCGGCUUUGCAAGUCGGGUGUGAAAGCCCUCAGCUUAACUGAGGAAGUGCGCCCGAAACUGCAGAGCUUGAGUACCGGAGAGGAUGGUGGAAUUCCCAAGUAGAGGUGAAAUUCGUAGAUAUGGGGAGGAACACCGGUGGCGAAGGCGACCAUCUGGACGGAUACUGACGCUGAGACGCGGAAGCGUGGGUAGCAAACGAGG